rnacentral:rRNA from 1 species
UUUUAAAAAGGGAAAAAACGUACAAGGUUUCCGUAGGUGAACCUGCGGAAGGAUCAUUG